CUCAUCUCUGUAGGCUAAUAAUCUUCUGUCUCUCUAGCUUUCCUCUGGCACUGAAGUUCUGCACAUGGCCUCUUCCAUUCUAGAAUUUUCUCUUCCUAUUGAUACUGGAGACUGCAGGAGGAAGCAUCUUGUACUUUCACUCCUUGCCUGAAGGAGAGAGACCCACUGAGCUUUUCAAAGAUUCCAGGAACUUUCUCACUAGAAGAAGGUCUUGAUGUAAUAGAGUGAGAAGGAAGGAAAAGCUGUAGUAAUUGAACAAUUUGGAGUGAACUGUGGGAAGAAUGUGAAGAGGGAAUCUAAGACUAAAAUCUCCAGUUCUUUCUGUAUGUUUAUGAGUUCUCCAGACCAAAGGUGCAAGCCAUGUUCUAGUAGAUCACAGGAGCGGCUGGACCGGGAAAGUGGCCAUAUGUGUGAGGGCAGACAGAGCCAAAACGCCUCAAGCAGGCAACCUACAUCAGUCUUAAGAAAAGCAUCCUUCAGGGACAACUGAGUCAUUAGAUGCUUGGCAAUCUUGUCUGUCAUCAUACUAACUUUGCAAGGGUGUAAAUUAACAUCCCUGCUGUUGUUGUUCAGUCCUCUGCCCUCCAAGGUAAGGAGGUUACCCCACCUGACCCCAGCUUUUGUCUCUUGUUUUUAUUUUCCUCAUAGCCACUGCUGAUCCUACCUGGGGUACACCGAGAGACCAGCGAAUUCCCUACACUGUUUUUUAUAAGUCUUGAUAGUCAUUAUUUUGCAAAGGACACUAACUAAUAGUGAGCAAAGCAAGGACAUUCUGUAUGCUGCUUAUGCAUUAUUUUUUUGAUUUGUGAGUUCCAG
rnacentral:lncRNA from 1 species